rnacentral:rRNA from 1 species
CCCUUUGUGACAUACCUAUAACUGUUGCUUCGGCGGGUAGGGUCUCCGCGACCCUCCCGGCCUCCCGCCCCCGGGCGGGUCGGCGCCCGCCGGAGGAUAACCAAACUCUGAUUCAACGACGUUUCUUCUGAGUGGUACAAGCAAAUAAUCAAAACUUUUAACAACGGAUCUCUUGGUUCUGGCAUCGAUGAAGAACGCAGCGAAAUGCGAUAAGUAAUGUGAAUUGCAGAAUUCAGUGAAUCAUCGAAUCUUUGAACGCACAUUGCGCCCGCCAGCAUUCUGGCGGGCAUGCCUGUUCGAGCGUCAUUUCAACCCUCAAGCUCCGCUUGGUGUUGGGGCCCUACAGCUGAUGUAGGCCCUCAAAGGUAGUGGCGGACCCUCCCGGAGCCUCCUUUGCGUAGUAACUUUACGUCUCGCACUGGGAUCCGGAGGGACUCUUGCCGUAAAACCCCCCAAUUUUCCAAAGGUUGACCUCGGAUCAGGUAGGAAUACCCGCUGAACUUAAGCAUAUCAAUA